GUGGGGAAUAUUGGACAAUGGGCGAAAGCCUGAUCCAGCCAUGCCGCGUGUGUGAAGAAGGUCUUCGGAUUGUAAAGCACUUUAAGUUGGGAGGAAGGGCAGUAAGUUAAUACCUUGCUGUUUUGACGUUACCGACAGAAUAAGCACCGGCUAACUUCGUGCCAGCAGCCGCGGUAAUACGAAGGGUGCAAGCGUUAAUCGGAAUUACUGGGCGUAAAGCGCGCGUAGGUGGUUUUGUAAGUUGGAGGUGAAAUCCCCGGGCUCAAACUGGGAACUGCCUCCAAAACUGCAUGACUAGAGGACGGUAGAGGGUAGUGGAAUUUCCUGUGUAGCGGUGAAAUGCGUAGAUAUAGGAAGGAACACCAGUGGCGAAGGCGACUACCUGGACUGAUACUGACACUGGGGUGCGAAAGCGUGGGGAGCAAACAGGAUUAGAAACCCGUGUAGUCC
rnacentral:rRNA from 1 species